rnacentral:ribozyme from 1 species
UGCCCAGCAACUCCUAUCCCUACCUCCUCGCGGUACCGGCCGGAAACUAUGAGUAACAUUACGAAACAUCGGAUAACCAACCCCGGUGGGAACUUUGGUCGUAGGCUGACAGGGAAGG